GAGGCUGUGACAUGGUGGAUCAAUACGGCAGGGAUAUAAAGCCGGCUGGCUGGCUGCCUGCCUCUGCCUCUGCCUCUCUCUCUCUCCCUUGCUUGCCUUGCUUCCUUUUCCAGGAGCCGCACCCAGGUCCCCCACCGUAAUGUACCCCUUACCCAGGCCUCUGAGAGGCCAGGCACCCCCUACCACUUCCCUACAGCGGGAGAGCUUAGGGAGGCUGAGAGCUUGGACAGCCAGGAGAGGGGGCCUGAUCUCUGGAUCUCCCUGAUCUCCAGAUCUCAGUGUGGCUCUCUCUGGAGACAAAAGCUAAGACUCAACCCACAGGCAACACUAAAUACACAGCUCCAGCUCAGAGAAAAAGGAGGUGACCAGGGAGGAAUGGAGAGGCCAAGACACAUAAUGAAGACCAGGAAAAGGAAGAAAGAUGAUGCUGCGGCUGGAGCCAAAAGGAGAGGAAGAGGAAAGAAAGGAAAGCCAGGAGCGGAGACCCAGCAGGGCAUUGUGAGCACAACAACCGUGGGGUGGGAGUGGGACGGGCAUCGAGAUUUCUAACAAGUGCAGCUGAAAACAUCCAGGGUCAUUCUCUGAGGCCUUCUCUCUGCCUACCAGUCCUCACCAGUGCUUCGAAGAGCCCUGCGGAAUGUCUCUCUAUUUGAAGUCAGAGCCAAGUGCCUGCUAUUGGCACCUGGGGCUCCAUGCUUACUAGGAUGGUUGGCACUUGACCUUCAUUUGCUAUGGGACUGUCAGGGAUUCCAGGGACCCACUGGUCCUCAAACUAGCUCAGAGUUCAAGCCAUUUUUACCUCCUGCACAUCUGUAAUUCCCACCCCAUGGCUGACAAAUAUUCCCAGUCCACAGCUAUCUCCACCCACCCAGUGACAGAGCACAGGCAGCCAAAAGGAUCAAGCAAUCUCUUGCCACCUCCUAGCAACCCAUAAUGGUGAACAGCCCCUCACAUCUGGACUCCACAUUCAGCGAGGAGUGGCCCUGCCCACUGCCCAGAUCACACAGCUGCAAUUUACAGACCACCCUAUGGGUCCCACCCCACAGCCAUAGCCCACCAGUAUCCAAGGGCUGCCUCUACACUGAAGCUCCGUCCCAGCCCAGCCCAUCCUUCAAGCCACAUAUGGAACAGCACACACCCUAUUCCUCUAGCCAAAGCCCUCCAGGUGCAAUUCAGAAGGAGGUAGACUAGGCCUGGGGCAUGUGGACAAGUCCCUGAUGCCACCCCCUGGCUUCUCCAGCUUGUCUGUGGAACCUGACUGCCCUGAAGGGCCAAACCUCUGAUCCCAGGUCAGCCCUCCAUCACACCUAUACUCUUGCCUAUGAGAGAACGUCCCCAUGUGCGGCUAAACAUCCUCCUCAUGCAGCCCUGGGUUCUGUUCCUUCCAUGUCACCUCACAGACCCAGGAUGGAAGCCUUUCACCUAGACUGAAGCUUCUGCUUCUGAAGCAUUCAGGACUCUCUCGGAGUGUGUGAGCACCCUGGGGCACAUCCCUGCUGCUUAUGUCUGAGUUACCUCUGAGUUCCCAGGACCACUCCACAUCGAAGGCCAUUGUGUCUUUUUGCGGAAAGAUGGAAGGACAGAGGGGAAAGAAAGACAAAAUGGUACCAUGGCCCUGCUCCUGCCCUGGCACUUGGAAGGCACCAGAUACCCAGGGGACUAUAGCUGGCUGUGAGGACUCUGAGGCCAGGUCAGCAUCCAUGGUCCCCAAUAGUGAGUAAGAGUCCAGUUAGCCUACACCCCUUCCCAUCCACCCAAAAUGUAACUUAGCCCUCGGCUUCUCUUUACCUUUCAGGAGUUCUCCCCUUACCCCCAAAGAAUUCCUGAGGUCCCCCUAGGCCGGUAAGUGUGUCUCUCCCCUAACCCAGCACCCUGCAGCCCCUGGUUCAGGUUGGUGGCAUCUGUGCCCAAGCCCCCACCAGCGUGAAAGCCCCUCAAAGGCCACACAGAUCUCCUACCUCUCUGCAUCUCCAGAUGUUGGUACAAGGCCUAGCACACAAGGAAUCCCAGAAAAUGUUGGCUGAAGGAAUAAAUGGAUGGAUCUGGGUU